GACAGAGGGUGCAAACGUUGCUCGGAAUCACUGGGCGUAAAGGGCGUGUAGGCGGGAAUGUAAGUCGGGCGUGAAAUCCCUAGGCUCAACCUAGGAACUGCACUCGAAACUGCGUUUCUUGAGUAUCGGAGAGGAAAGCGGAAUACCUGGUGUAAAGGUGAAAUUCGUAGAUAUCAGGUGGAACACCAGUGGCGAAGGCGGCUUCUGGACGACAACUGACGCUGAGACGCGAAAGCGUGGGAGCAAACAGG
rnacentral:rRNA from 1 species